rnacentral:lncRNA from 1 species
AGCAAACCUUAUCAGGAUCCUAAACUCUAUAGAAAACUAGUUGGUAAACUGAUUUACCUUACCAUAACUAGACCUGACAUUUGUUUUGUUGUGAAUCAGGUGAGUCAACAUAUGCAAGUGCCUAAGGAUCAUCACUGGCGUAUGGUGGAGAGAAUUCUGAUGUAUCUCAACGGCUCACCUGAUCAAGGAAUAUGGAUGGGUUGCAAUGGGAGCACUGAAGUGGUUGGAUACUGUGAUGCGGAUUGGGCUGGUGAUAGAGCAGACAGGAGAUCAACCACAGGCUAUUGCACAUUCAUUGGAGGCAACUUGGUUACAUGGAAGAGUAAGAAGCAGAAGGUGGUCUCUUGCUCAAGCGCAGAAGCUGAGUAUAGAGCUAUGCUGAAGCUUACCAACGAGCUGGUGUGGAUCAAAGGCAUCUUGAAGCAUUUGGAGAUUGAUCAAACCACGCCAAUGACAAUGCAUUGUGAUAACCAAGCAGCUAUCCACAUUGCCUCCAACUCGGUGUUCCAUGAGAGAACCAAGCACAUUGAAGUUGAUUGCCACAAAGUGAGGCAGAUGAUCAUCCUAGGAGUCAUCUUGCCAUGCUAUACAAGGAGUGAAGAUCAGUUGGCUGAUGUGUUCACCAAGGCUGCAAGACAGAAGACAAUGGAGUCCAUUCACAUCAGGUUGGGCCUCAUUGAUCUUGGGAAGAGAAGGAGCUGAUCCCCUUUCGCUGUGAGGUCUUUACUCUUUUUCCCUCAUCAAGGUUUUGUCCCAAUGGGUUUUCCUUGGUGAGGUUUUUAAUGAGGAAGAUUUCAUGGCUGUCCAAGCUUAGUUGUUCAUAAAGCUAAGCUUGAGGGGGAGUGUUGAGAUGAGUUGAGACAUUUGAGGUAAAGAGAAGGCUUGAGAGGUUAAGUAUGAAUGGAGAAGAAGGAGCUUAGGAGGAAUGGAGAAGUGAGGCUGAGGCAUCCGUACAAGGCCGUACAUGGCCGUACAUGGCCGUACAUGUCCAUACACACUUACCUCAGCCACGGUUAAGCCAAGAGUUACUUAAGUAACUUAACUAGAUAAGAAGAAGCUCUGAUCACUUAUCUGAAGGAUCAGACCGUUACCAAAGGAAGAAGGAGCGUGUGACAGCCUGUCUUGGGCUGGAAAGAAGAAGGCAUAAAGCAAAGAUGCUUCACACACGCGGUCACUCCUAUUGGAUAGUUCAAAUGCAUUCUUAUCCUAUCCAUUGACUUCACAUGCUUUCUCCUCUUGUAUUUCGAAACCCUAGAGACUCUCUCUUACUAUAUAAUGUAUCCUAAGCUCAUUAAUAAAGAUUAGACAGUUCUAAACAAAUCAAUCUCUCUAUACUUUUCACAAUGAUUCUCCAUUAGUCUCUUAAUCUCUUCUCUAUUCUUAUCUAAACUCAGAUUAUCUUUUACUUUACUCAAAUCUUAUAUGGUAUCAGAGCCAGGUUGAUUUCAAUCUGAGUUCUUGGCGUUUUUCUCUUGAAGAUUCAAACUUGAAACUUUGGGAGAUCAAGUGAGAGUGGUGUGAGUGUUCUUGGAAGAAGCUGCAUCCCGGGAGCUACAUCUUCAUACCGAAAGUCUUAUCUAGCUUUUUGAGGGUUCUUUGAAGAGUAAAGACAAGGCACGGAAGGGUUUGAGCUGGUGUUGUAGUUCUGAGUCUCAAGAUCAAGUCUUUUACAAGUUAUUGAAGUGAAACUGUUGAAGAUGGAGAGUGGUUCCAAGAUGAAGGUUGCUGUGACUUUCAAGGGAAGUAACUACCUAGUAUGGUCUAGGAUGGUGAAGACUGCUGUGGGAAGUAAGGGUUUAUGGAAGCACAUCACAUCUGGUGAGGCUCCAAAGCUCAUUACUCAAGGAGGAGACAAGGAGAGUGUCUCGGAAGCUGAAGCUGAGAAGUGGCAACAAGAGGACAUGGUGGUGAUGUCUGCUCUUCAUAGCUCGUUGGAGCCAGCCAUUCUAGAUGCUUACAGCUAUUGUGAGACAGCCAAGGAGCUGUGGGAAACAUUGAAGAAGGUGUAUGGAAACACCUCUAACCUCAGCCGGGUCUUUGAAGUGAAGAAAGCUUUGAAUGAUCUAACUCAGGAGGACAUGGAGUUCACUAAGCAUUUGGGGAGGUUCCGGACACUCUGGUCAGAGCUGGAGAUGCUGAGGCCGAGCACAACUGAUCCAGAGCUGCUAAAUGAAAGGAGAGAGCAAGAUAAAGUCUUUGGGUUGUUGCUUACAUUGAAUCCAAGCUACGGUGGGUUGAUUCAGCAUAUGUUGAGGGCUGAGAAGCUUCCGGACCUGGAGGAUGCGUGUGCUCAGAUACAAAAGGAGCAAGGCUCCAUUGGCUUGUUUGGUGGUAAAGGAGACUUGUCUCUAGCCAAUGCUGCGCGAACUGAUCAUGAGGAGAUACCACAAGCCAACAGAGCAGCACACGGCAAGUAUGAGGAUAGGAAGUUCAAUGGCAAUUGUGAUCACUGCAAGAAGCAUGGGCACAAGAAGAGCCAGUGCUGGAUACUACAUCCUCAUCUGAAGCCAGCGAAGUUCAUGAAGGAAAGGGAGGCAAGGGCUCAUGCUUCUGAAGGAACAAGUGGAGCCGGAUCAUCUAGCCGUGGAGCUGAAGGAGAGGGACGUGAGGGUGAUGGCAAGGCACUGGUGACAUACUCAGGAGCUCCUAACAUCCGUGGCAAUGAUCAAGACUUCAUCAGGAGAUCCGAGAUGGAUGCUCUCAUCAAAAUGCUCAAGGAGAAUGGUAACACUCAUGGAUACUCCUUUGGUGCAUCCAUGAUAGCUAAGACUAUAGAAACAUCUCCUUGUGUUGCUGAUAUUGCUAGGAUGGAUAGGGUUAAAGGCAAUGAACAUGCUAGACAUGAGUACACUUUUGCUAGAAAUGCUAGGAUAAAUCAUGAACUAAAUGCAUUUAGAUCACCUUUGAACCGUUGUCAUACUGCUAGCAAUAUAACUAAGCCAUUAAUUGUUGAUUCUGGUGCAUCUCAUCACAUGAUUAGUGAUACAAAUCUGAUUAAGGAUAUAGAACCAACUAGUGGACAUGUUAUGAUUGCAAAUGGAGACAAGAUCCCUAUUAGAGGAAUAGGAAAUUUGAAGUUGUUUGAUAAGAACACUAGAGCUUUCUACAUGCCUGAAUUUACAUCUAACUUGCUAUCUGUUAAGAAAUGCACAACUGAUUUGAAUUGCAAUGUUAUAUUCAGUCCUAAUGAUGUAAAGUUUCAGGAUAUUGAGAGCAGCCACGUGAUUGGAAAAGGAAUCACUAAAGGAGAGUUGUAUUUGCUUGAAGAACUUGAUCCUGUUUCCAAUUACAAUUGCUCAUUUACUACUGCUUCUAGUAUAAAUAAAAAUGCUUUGUGGCAUGCUAGAUUAGGACAUCCUCAUGGUAGAGCUUUAAACUUGAUGUUACCAGGUGUUUUAUUUGAGAAUAAGGAUUGUGAAGCUUGCAUUUUAGGCAAGCAUUGUAAAACUGUGUUUCCAAACUCUACUAGUGUUUAUGAUAAGUGCUUUGAUCUUAUUCAUUCUGAUGUGUGGACUGCACCUUGCAUAUCUAGAGACAAUCAUAAAUACUUUGUCACAUUCAUUGAUGAAAAAUCCAAAUACACCUGGUUAACUUUAAUCCCAUCAAAAGAUAGAGUGAUAGAUGCAUUUAAGAACUUUCAAGCUCAUGUGACUAACCAUUAUAAUGCCAAGAUUAAAAUUUUGAGAUCAGAUAAUGGAGGGGAGUACACAAGCUAUGCGUUCAAAAGUCAUCUAGAGCAUCAUGGGAUCUUGCAUCAAACAAGCUGUCCUUAUACUCCACAACAGAAUGGGGUAGCUGAGAGGAAGAACCGACACUUGAUGGAGGUUGCUAGGUCAAUGAUGUUCCAAGCAAAUGUUCCAAAGAGGUUCUGGAGUGAUGCUGUGGCUACUGCUUGUUACUUGAUCAACAGGAUUCCCACAAAGGUGUUGAAGGAUCAAGCACCAUUUGAAGUUCUAAACAAGCACAAGCCAUCAGUGGAUUACUUGAGAGUAUUUGGAUGUCUAUGCUUUGUGUUGGUACCAGGAGAGUUAAGAAACAAGCUAGAGGCAAGGAGCACUAAGGCUAUGUUUAUUGGCUAUUCAACAACACAAAAGGGAUACAAGUGCUAUGAUCCAGAUACUAGAAGAGUCCUAAUCUCUAGAGAUGUGAAGUUCAUAGAAGCUAGAGGAUACUAUGAAGAAAGGAAUCAAGAGGAGCUAAAGGAUCUAACGUCAGAUAAGGCAGGCGCCUUAAGACUGAUUUUGGAGGGUCUAGGUAUCAAGAUGAACCAGGAUCCAAAUGUGGGGAGUAGGAACCAACAUGAGAGUUCUCCGGCCCCUAGUGAAGCUAAUCAGUCACCUCACCUUGAUCGUGAGGGGGGCAGGGAAUCUGAAACUCAAGAAGAUGGUCAGGAUGGAGCCGGCUUGAGUGAAGAAGAAGAGAGUGUUUCAGGCUCUCACAAUCAAGGUGAUCAAAGCCAAGGAGAAGUAGAAGCUCAGGCUGAAGCACCAGAACCGAGUGUCCAAGAGGAGCAGGUUCAGAACCAACCAGUAUUGAGAAGAAGCACAAGGCUGAGAAAGGAUCCUUCUACUUGGGUAAACACGCGAGUGUACUACAAUGCCCAAGCUGUGGAGCAUCCUUCUCAAGCUGUGUGUUCCUUUGCUCAAUACCCUGAAGAACAUUGUGCCUUUAUGGUAAACUUGGAUGAGAACUACAUACCAAGAAACUAUGAAGAGGCAAUGAUGGAUAAAGAAUGGAAGGAAUCAGUUGGAGCUGAGGCAGGAGCCAUGAUCAAGAAUGAUACAUGGUAUGAGAGUGAGUUACCAAAAGGGAAGAAGGCUGUGAGUAGUAAAUGGAUAUUCACAAUCAAGUAUAAGGCUGAUGGAAAGGUUGAGAGGAAGAAGUCAAGGCUAGUAGCCAGAGGUUUCACUCAAACUUAUGGAGAAGAUUACAUAGAAACCUUUGCACCAGUAGCUAAACUACAUACAAUACGGAUUGUAUUAAGCUUGGCUGUGAAUCUUGGAUGGGGGUUAUGGCAAAUGGAUGUGAAGAAUGCAUUCCUACAAGGUGAACUUGAGGAUGAAGUAUAUAUGCAUCCACCUCCAGGCCUAGAACACUUAGUGAAGAGAGGAAAUGUAUUGAGACUGAAGAAAGCUAUCUAUGGGCUGAAGCAAUCACCAAGAGCUUGGUACAACAAGCUGAGCACUACUCUGAAUGGCCGAGGCUUCAAGAAGUCUGAACUAGACCACACUCUCUUCACACUCACUACUCCCUCAGGUAUGAUUGCACUCCUUGUGUAUGUUGAUGACAUCAUUAUCACAGGAAGUGAUAAGGAAGGUAUCAUAGCAACCAAGGAGUUUCUUAAAUCCAUGUUUGAGAUUAAAGACUUGGGAGAAAUGAAAUACUUUCUUGGAAUUGAGAUAUGUAGAUCCAAGGAAGGCGAUUUGGGAGAAAUGAAAUACUUUCUUGGAAUUGAGAUUUGUAGAUCCAAGGAAGGCUUAUUCAUGUCCCAAAGGAAGUAUACACUUGAUCUUUUGAAAGGUGCAGGUGCUUAUGGAGGCAAGACAGCAAGGAUGCCUAUGGAGGAUGGCUACAAAGUCCCACGAGAGGGGGAGAUUGAAGACAGCAAACCUUAUCAGGAUCCUAAACUCUAUAGAAAACUAGUUGGUAAACUGAUUUACCUUACCAUAACUAGACCUGACAUUUGUUUUGCUGUGAAUCAGGUGAGUCAACAUAUGCAAGUGCCUAAGGAUCAUCACUGGCGUAUGGUGGAGAGAAUUCUGAUGUAUCUCAACGGCUCACCUGAUCAAGGAAUAUGGAUGGGUUGCAAUGGGAGCACUGAAGUGGUUGGAUACUGUGAU